rnacentral:rRNA from 1 species
UACGGGGGGAGCAAGCGUUGUUCGGAUUUACUGGGCGUAAAGGGCGCGUAGGCGGCCACCGCAAGUCGACUGUGAAAUCUCCGGGCUUAACUCGGAACGGUCAAGUGAUACUGUCGGGCUAGAGUGCAGAAGGGGCAACUGGAAUUCUCGGUGUAGCGGUGAAAUGCGUAGAUAUCGAGAGGAACACCUGCGGCGAAGGCGGGUUGCUGGGCUGACACUGACGCUGAGGCGCGAAAGCCAGGGGAGCGAACGGG